UACAGAGACCUCAAGCGUUAUCCGGAAUCAUUGGGCGUAAAGCGUACCGAUAGGUGGUUAUGCAAGUCAGAGGUGAAAUCUCCGAGCUCAACUCGGAAUCUGUCCUUUGAAACUGCACAACUAGAGGGGCAAAGAGGAAGCUGGAACGAACGGUGUAGUAGUGAAAUGCGUUGAUAUCGUUCGGAACACCAAUAGCGUAGGCAGGCUUCUGGGUGCCACCUGACACUGCCAGGACGAAAGCGUGGGGAGCGAAUGGG
rnacentral:rRNA from 1 species